GAAAGCAGAACUCGAGUGGUUGAGUGUCUCCCUUUUAAGGAGAAAGUUCUGGUUCAAGUCCAGGUGGUUUCA
rnacentral:tRNA from 1 species